GACGAACGCUGGCGGCGUGCUUAACACAUGCAAGUCGAACGGUAAGGCCCUUCGGGGUACACGAGUGGCGAACGGGUGAGUAACACGUGGGUGAUCUGCCCUGCACUUCGGGAUAAGCCUGGGAAACUGGGUCUAAUACCGGAUAGGACCCUGGGAUGCAUGUCCUGGGGUGGAAAGCUUUUGCGGUGUGGGAUGGGCCCGCGGCCUAUCAGCUUGUUGGUGGGGUGAUGGCCUACCCAGGCGACGACAGGUAGCCGGCCUGAGAGGGGGACCGGCCAGACUGGGGCUGAGAUACGGCCCAGACUCCUACGGGAGGCAGCAGUGGGGAAUAUUGCACAAUGGGCGCAAGCCUGAUGCAGCGACGCCGCGUGAGGGAUGACGGCCUUCGGGUUGUAAACCUCUUUCAGCACCGACGAAGCGCAAGUGACGGUAGGUGCAGAAGAAGGACCGGCCAACUACGUGCCAGCCGCCGCAGUAA
rnacentral:rRNA from 1 species